GAUCAUGGCUCAGAGUUAACGCUGGCAUCGUGCAUAACACAUGCAAGUCGAACGGGACUUUAAUUUGUAGCAAUACAGAUUAAAGUUUUAGUUGGCAGACGGGUGAGUAAUGUAUAAGUAACCAACCUUUAAGUGGGGAAUAACAAUCCGAAAGGGUUGCUAAUACCCCAUAACAUCUAAUAGCGGCAUCGUUAAUAGAUUAAAGAUUUAUCGCUUGAAGACGGACUUAUAUUCUAUCAGCUAGUUGG
rnacentral:rRNA from 1 species